GGGGCUGUUCUGGAUUCGACAGGAUAGUUUGAGUUUGAUAAGCAUGCGAUCGGCAGAUCUAAAAAUGCACCAGUAAAUAUAACUGGAACCAAUAAUUACGCUUACGCUGCUUAAGAAGAAGUAGCGAGUCCUCCCCUUCCGGCCUGCGGGUUUGGGCGGACUGCACUUAGCAGGAUAGCGAACCAUGUCGCCGCCUUAGGCAUGUUAGCGAGAUUAACAGGGCUAACCGCAUCGAUGUGUGUCUCCUGGCUACAAUGCGGUGAAAACCAUCGGGAGGCUAAGCAUGUAGAAAGUCAAAUGGUCGGCUGUUUUGGACGGGGGUUCGAUUCCCCCCAGCUCCACCA
rnacentral:tmRNA from 1 species